AACGUAGGAACCGAGCGUUAUCCGGAUUCACUGGGUGUAAAGCGCGUGCAGGUGGCUUCGUAAGUUGGACGUGAAAUCUCCUGGCUUAACUGGGAGAGGCCGUUCAAUACUGCGGGGCUUGAGGGCAGGAGAGGGAGGUGGAAUUCCCGGUGUAGUGGUGAAAUGCGUAGAUAUCGGGAGGAACACCAGUGGCGAAGGCGGCCUCCUGGCCUGCUCCUGACACUGAGACGCGAAAGCUAGGGGAGCGAACGGG
rnacentral:rRNA from 1 species